rnacentral:miRNA from 1 species
UGAGGUAACUUACCUGAGGUCACCCAGCUCUAAGUGGCAGAGCCAGGAUUCAAGUCCAGCCCCGACUUCUGCUUCCCAUGCCUCUGCCCACCCCUGCAGGC